rnacentral:snRNA from 1 species
AUCGCUUCUCGGCCUUUUGGCUAAGAUCAAAGUGUAGUAUCUGUUCUUAUCAGCUUAAUAUCUGAUACGCCCUCCAUCGGGGGGCAUCCAUAUUAAACUACUGUUUGGAAGCAGGAGACUGUCU